AUUGAACGCUGGCGGCAGGCUUAACACAUGCAAGUCGAGCGGGGUGAUGGUGCUUGCACUAUCACUUAGCGGCGGACGGGUGAGUAAUGCUUAGGAAUCUGCCUAUUAGUGGGGGACAACAUCUCGAAAGGGAUGCUAAUACCGCAUACGUCCUACGGGAGAAAGCAGGGGAUCACUUUUACCUUUGCCCAAAAGAUGAGCCUAAAUCGGAUUAGCUAGUUGGUGGGGUAAAGGCCUACCAAGGCGACGAUCUGGAGCGGGUCUGAGAGGAUGAUCCGCCACACUGGGACUGAGACACGGCCCAGGCUCCUACGGGAGGCAGCAGUGGGGAAUAUUGGACAAUGGGGGGAACCCUGAUCCAGCCAUGCCGCGUGUGUGAAGAAGACCUUAUGGUUGUAAAGCACUUUAAGCGAGGAGGAGGCUCUUUUGGUUAAUACCCAAGAUGAGUGGACGUUACUCGCAGAAUAAGCACCGGCUAACUCUGUGCCAGCAGCCGCCGCCG
rnacentral:rRNA from 1 species